UUCUUCAAUGAUAUAGCAUGUUGAUAUAGUCAAAGUUGCUGUUUAAUGGUGUUGGUGUCGUCUCAUCCUCAUUUCAUUUCAGUCAUGGAAAAGACAGGUUGAAUAUUUUUUUUGGUCAUCGUUUUCUUGAUUAAAAUGUACACUAGUGUGUUGAUGGGUUCUGUGUACCCCACACGGGUUCGGGACGAGGAGCAGGAGGAACUGGAGAAGAUGUUGUGUAAUUUCUGUGAGCUGCCUGCGGCCGGAGGAGUGGAGAACGGAUAGGGCAAGAUAAACAUCCUCCUCCAGACGUACAUCGGCUGCGGGGACGAGGACAGCUUCUCUCUCAUAUCUGACCUCUCUUAUGUAGCACAGAAUGCUGCUCGUAUCGUGUGGGCUCUGUUUGAGAUCGCUCUGAGGAAGCGCUGGCCCGCCAUGACCUACCGCCUGCUGAACCUGUGUAAAGUGAUUGACAAGCGUCUGUGUGGAUGGGCCCACCCACUGCGACAGUUCAGCGCACUGCCCUCUUUAGUGCUGUCCAGAAUAGAGGAGAGGUACCUCACGGUGGACAAACUCAGAGACAUAGACAAAGAUGAGAUCGGUCACAUGUUGUAUCACAUGAACAUCGGGAUAAAGAUGAAGCAGAUCAUCAGAUACCCGCCAUCCUGAUGGAGUCCAGCAUUCAACCAAUCACAUGCACUGUCCUGCGCAUACGCCUCGGACUUCAGGUGGAAUGACCAGGUCCAUGGCUCGCUGGGAGAGCCCUGGUGGUUAUGGGAGGAGGAUCCUAUCAACGAACACAUCUACCACUCUGAGUACUUCCUUCUGCAUAAGAAACAGGUUGUGAGUGGAGAGCCCCAGCAGGUGGUCUUCACUAUACCCAUCUUUGAGCCCAUGCCUUCUUAGUAUUACAUCCGAGCCAUGUCUGACUGUUGACUGGGCUCUGAAGCUGUGUGUAUCAUCAACUUCCAGCAUCUCAUCCUGCCUGAAAGACACCCACUACACACAGGUGCGUCCCAAAUAUAUACAGUAUAGUCAUAUUUCACGCUUUAAACAAC